rnacentral:rRNA from 1 species
AGAGGGGGACCUUCGGGCCUCUUGCCAUCGGAUGUGCCCAGAUGGGAUUAGCUAGUAGGUGGGGUAACGGCUCACCUAGGCGACGAUCCCUAGCUGGUCUGAGAGGAUGACCAGCCACACUGGAACUGAGACACGGUCCAGACUCCUACGGGAGGCAGCAGUGGGGAAUAUUGCACAAUGGGCGCAAGCCUGAUGCAGCCAUGCCGCGUGUAUGAAGAAGGCCUUCGGGUUGUAAAGUACUUUCAGCGGGGAGGAA